ACUGCAAGUCGAACGGGUCUUAUAUUAGAUAAAGAGGUUUACUUCUUCUAUUUGAUAUAAGACUAGUGGCGGACGGGUGAGUAACGCGUGGAUAACCUACCUUAUACAGGGGGAUAACAACGAGAAAUCGUUGCUAAUACCCCAUACGUAUUGGCAUUGCAUGGUGCUAAUAUAAAAGCUUUAGUGGUAUAAGAUGGGUCCGCGUCUGAUUAGCUAGUUGGUGGGAUAAAAGCCUACCAAGGCAACGAUCAGUAGCCGGCUUGAGAGAGUGAACGGCCACAUUGGGACUGAGACACGGCCCAGACUCCUACGGGAGGCAGCAGUGGGGGAUAUUGCGCAAUGGGGGGAACCCUGACGCAGCGACGCCGCGUGAGCGAAGAAGGCCUUCGGGUCGUAAAGUUCUGUCUUUGGGGAAGAAUAAGAUGACGGUACCCAAGGAGGAAGCCCCGGCUAACUACGUGCCAGCAGCCGCGGUAAUACGUAGGGGGCUAGCGUUAUCCGGAAUUACUGGGCGUAAAGGGUGCGUAGGUGGUUUCUUAAGUCAGAGGUGAAAGGCUACGGCUCAACCGUAGUAAGCCUUUGAAACUGGGAAACUUGAGUGCAGGAGAGGAGAGUGGAAUUCCUAGUGUAGCGGUGAAAUGCGUAGAUAUUAGGAGGAACACCAGUUGCGAAGGCGGCUCUCUGGACUGUAACUGACACUGAGGCACGAAAGCGUGGGGA
rnacentral:rRNA from 1 species